rnacentral:lncRNA from 1 species
AUGUCUGUAUUUGAACCUGGACCUAAAGUUUUAGAUUCAAAAGCCAUCACUUUAUCUUUCAGCUCCCCUCCAGGGUCUCCAGCACCAUAUGGCCAGCACUUGUCACAGGUGGCAGGCAUUUGGCUCCUUCAUAAGCACUGCUCCAGCUGUACCUACAGGCUUCUAGAGCUUGAAAGAAACUGCUCCUUUGGGCUCACUCCUCAGGAGGUUCUGCUUGAGUUCCUCCUGUUGUCUGGAUUCUGGAAUCUUGGCAAUGUCUGCAGAGUUGAUCUUCAAGAUGGCAGCGGAUAUGACUCAUAUCAGUGGAUAUGUCUAUCUGAGAAUAACCAGGACAGACAAUUAUAUAUGGAAUAUCUGAUACGGAAAGAAGGUAUAUUCUGCAACGUUCUCCAAACACUGACUUUCUUCUGCAGAAGUGAAGGAACACAACUUUUAAAAACGAAAUGAAUUUGCAAGACUGUGCAGAGUUGGCAAUAGUUACUCAUUAUUUUGCCAAAAAGAAUGUUGAGAAUGUUGGUUACACUUAAGCUGAAUACUGUGAUUUAUUUCAGAGACUGUGUUAUUCAAUUUGCUAUUUAGCUUCCUUUUCAUCAUCUCUGUACACAUAUCCACUGAGAGCUGAAGUUGCUGGGCACUGCUUAUGACUUUUUGGUAUUACUUACAGGUUUACUAUGUGGGUUCCUUUGAGAGAUGGAAUAUGAAUCUUCCUUUGAGCAUGUGUGGCCUAAAAAGGAAAAAAAAAAUGAACAACCUAAACUCCCCACUCCUAACUUCCCAGACAACUAUUUUCAAGGAAGCUCUCCAGUUCCCUUAUCUCAUUAAUACACCUGACGGCUCAGCCCAGCAGCUUUUCCAUCUCUCUCCAGAGCCCUGGCAAUGUCUAAAAUGACUGUUAUAAGCAGUGUGUUUAGCUAUUGUUUCAAGUGAAAUAUAGAAUGUAAUGUUCCUUGUUUGAGUAUCACAUUUUUCUUUACUACAACAUAUUGUCUUCCUGAAUAUAUGUCUGACAGAAUUGGAGAGCCUUAUACUUUCUUCAGUUACUAAGUACCAUUUUGCCUACUUAAACUACUAAAAAAUAUAUGAUGAUUAAUAUAUAUACACAUGUACAAAACAAGUAUAAGGGUUAUAACAUUUGGAAAAUGCCAGUAUCAAGAUUGCUUGCGGAAUUAUGAGCUAUUGUCUGUAUUAAAUGUCCACCUAUUACAAGUGCUAUGUAUGGUUUUCUACAGGUCUUACUACUACCACACUUUUUGGUAGAUCGCCAGUCUCAUUCAUUGCAGAAGGUGUCCAUUGAACAGACAUAUUUAAAAUGUGGUUUAUGUACUUCAUGUUUUAUUAACCAUACCACGUGUAAUUUCUGCUCUGGUGGCAAGAUAACUUUUUCCUCUUGGCUUGCUUGCUUGAAGACUUCAUCCGCCUUUGCUGAUUGAAAUAUACCAAUACUCUG